rnacentral:lncRNA from 1 species
GGCGCACGCGGCCACGCGCAGCGCUUCACUUCACUUAAUUACUAACACCUGACCUGCAGUGCAGCAGAAUUCAGAGGUCCAGUUGAGGGCAUCAAGAACACGCAGAUAGCAUAAACCUGUGUCAGCCUGGACAGACUGUAGAUCUGCUACUCAACGCCAAGGCUUUUGUAUGCAUGUCUGACUACUACAGUGUUCUUUAAAGGUUUUCUGGAAGCUCCAUUUGAGGGCAUCAAGGACAUACUGAUGGCCUAAACCAGUGUCAGCCUAGACAGACAGACAUCUAUUGCAGUUCUGCUACACAAGACCAAACUCUCUGCUUUUGUAUGGAUGUCUGACUAGUACAGUGUUCUCUAAAGGUAUAACUGGAGCAAAACAACAGCAUCCGUUACAGUGAAAUUUGUGUUCAUAAAAGAUAGUGAUAUAUGUGUAACAGGUCCAGUACAUUUGUCAUAAAGGUUAAAUCACAGUAAGUACUGUAAAAAUAACUUGUUUGCCUCUGCCACAACAGGUCAUGGUGUGUGCAUACUGCUCGUAGUAAACACACACGCUGAUCUGAUGCGGGAGAGAUAUACGCAAACACAUUUGUAUUUACUGUUUUGUUUUGCCUCACUAAAGUGUUGUUGGAGCUUGGUAUGUUCACAGUUGAAAUCACUGAAGUCACAUGGAACGUUUUGACAAUGUGUUUUGUGCCUUAUCUUGACAAUUGGGACCAUUGCUGUCUGUAGAGGAUG